rnacentral:lncRNA from 1 species
AAAAGUUAAUUAAAAUAAAAGAUAGAAAAAAUAAUAAAUAUGUUUAAGAGCCGUAAAAUUAAAUGUUAUGUAUAGAGCCUACUGAAAUACUUUAAAAUUUUUUACUCCCUCAAUUUAUAGUUGUUCUUUAAAUUAUAGAAUAUGCUUUUUAAAAAUAGAAAGUCUUUUGAAAAUACUCUAAUUGUAAUCAAAUGGAAUAUAAUUGCUGCUGUGAGAGAAAAGCAAGUCAUGGAAGAACCACCGAACACAUAUCUUAAAGUGUCCCAACCACCACUCACUGCCUUCACAGAUGACGAACUUGCUCCAUUGAUCAACUUCAUUACCUUGCCAACUUCACUCCCACCGCAUUUCCCUCCCUAAAAAAUGGUCAAAUUAGUAGCGACCUUAUGUAAAAACUUUACAUUCGUCGCCUGAACCAAUAGGCCCACUGUCAUAGCAACUUCUCUUUGGCUAACUCGCGUCCUCAAGGCGAUUACUUCCAUAGUACAACAUUAUCAAGCAUGUUGUUAGGUUGUGGCAGCGGCAAUGCAUUGCACGUGAUUGUGGUGGUGGCGUUGUGCAAUUUGGGUGGUUUUACUCUGUGUGAUGGUGGCGCUAUGUGAUCUCGAUGGUCUGAUCUGCCUUUUGGGGAUAUAAAAGAAGAAUAAAAAUUGUGAGAUGGUGAUUUUCUUAUGUCCGACGAUUUCAGCAUAUUCUCUCUAUAAUUCUUCAAUCAUAAAAGGGUGAUAUCCUUGGUGAUUAUUAGAGGAGGUGGCAGUGUUGAUGUGUUGCAGGUGCUGGCGGUUGUGGUAUAGUACAGAUAGUAGUGAUGGUGGUAUGUUAGAGGAGGAGGUGGUUGGCUGUUUGUUGUUCAAUCUAUCCAUUGGCUUGUUGUUUUGGGUUGCAGUGAUAAUGGGUUGUUGUGCUGAUAUGCGAUGUGUGCGAAUUUAUUUAUGACGACUUUUUGUGAUCACGUCUGUAUUAAUUAUGAUUGGUUGUGACCAAGUUUGUGUUAAUCGUGAUUAAUUGUGAUUGUAUAUGUUGUGGUGUUGGCCUACGGUGUAUGUGCAAAUUUAUUUGUGGUGAGUUUCCG